AUAUUGAAAAAUAUAUGGAUUAAUCACAUUCUUAAUACAUAUAGGUUAAAAAUUAAACAUUCAAUUUUUCAUUUUAUAUGGACUUUUUAUCUUAAUUUUGCAAAAUUCUUCCAUUCAUUUUCAAAUUAAAACAAAACAUAGAAACAUGAACUAAGAACUAAGUUAAAGGACGAAUUGUUAUUAUUUACAAAACCUCCGUGGAAUCGUAUCCACAAACUACGAAUUGAAUAAAAUACUACAUCAACACAAAAGACCUCUUCACUUACAUUUGAAUGUGUGCAUUACUACUACGAACGAGAAAAAACAUAGCGUGUGCAUGAAUGUAAGUGUAAAUUAUUAUAAAUUGAUGUUUAGAACAAUGGAUGUUUUCCAGCUCUGCUUAAACUUUUCGCUAUGUCAAUAGAUUUAGCCAUAAAACAAAUGCAGAUACUGAGAAUAGCGGACAGGACCGAAGAUGUUUUAUUCGACUAAAUAUCUUAAAAAACAGAAUGUAUACAUGUAUAUAUGGCAGUGUAGUUCAUUGUUUUUAAGUAACGAGGUAUAAUUCCGCAGUGUCAAAACAAAAAAUUUAAACAAAGGGUUCCCUAAAAAUUACUGAGCAUGCGCGAAUCAAAGAGAGGAUAACACAAGGGAACCCUUUCCCGCGGUGAAAUAUGUUGUACCAGAUCAUGUUAUUGUAUUAUAAAAUAAAUAUUUAAAAAUAUGUUUUUUACAGUUGUUUAAAGGUUUGAUUUUUUAGAUUCUCUUAAAUCUUUAUUAUUCCAGGUUUAGUUCUUUUAUUGUGCAAACAGAUUCUCAAUCAUCACUUAAGGCCUGUGCGAGACUUUGCAUCCCCAAUUUGCUAAUUCAGUUACCACAUACACAUGGAUGCGGUAUUAAGUGAAAGCAGCGGUUCUACACUAUGUUAGGGAUCAGGUAAGGCCUGUGUAAGACAGAAAUAAUUUGUAUUUACUCCUUAGCUGUUUAUUAAAAUCGUGCAAUACAUUUUAUUUAUUAAUAAUCCGAAGCAAAUAAGCGUUGCGCAACAGUUGACAGAAAUUUAAAAAAUAUGUCCCCCACAAUAACCUCUUGGCUUUGUAACAAGGUUAGCAAUUAUUUUACUCAACACUUAUGAAUCGAAAAAACCUUUAUCAAAGGUCCCCCAUAAAAAAACAAAAGAUUUAUUAAUUUCACUUCCGAGUGAAAACUAAAACUAUAUGGUACGGAUUAGGUUAAUUCUGAUAUUUGAUUGAAAUAUGUAAGUAUUACUUCGAAAUUAAUUGUCCAAUAGCUGUCAGGGAACUUAUUGUGAUCUUUCGUGUAUAAAAUUCACUCGUUCUAUAGUUUUAUUGACUAGAAAUCCAUAGACAUUAAAAAUCAUUUAGCUGUGUAAAGUUGCUAGUUUGGCAAGAAUGUACAAAUCUAGUACAUCCUUUUACUCUAUGAGUAACGGUUAUGGAUGGUUUUUUAAAAACAAUUAAUUUUCCUGGGUGGAAUACCCCGAAUGCCAAAACUCGUAACCCUGAGUCGACUGAUACGUUAGAAUUUUCUAGAUGGACCAUAAGCACCCCGCAAUUGGCGGUGUUUGUAUUAACGGGACGACAUAUGGACGUAUGCAAAUACUUUCAGGAUCCCUUAUCCUGAGGGAUAAAACGGCAUUUGCAAGGGGUGUGUUGUAUUUCUUCCGCAAACUAGCUUAAAUUCGCGACUUAAUUUAGGUAUGGCGGUACGACUAGGACGAUGACUCAUAAUAUUUAGGGAACUAUGUAUAAACAACGUAAAUAAGACUAAAUUAUCUAUAAAUUUUAGUUAAUUUAGUGGCAGCAAGACAAAACAGAAUGGACCAGCCGUUUGCGACCAUUUUUAUUUAUAAAAAUAAAUAAAUAAAUAAAAUAUUAACCUAGUAGAGAAAAGGAAAAAGUGACUCGGCAACUCUAAUAUGUAAAGGCAAUUUUCUGCCAGCUUCUCUGUUGGCGAUCAGAUGUUGAAUUCAACUUGUAAACAUUGACAUGGAACAAUUUGUAUACUUUUCUCAAUAUGUUUAAUAUAAUGCUAAGCUACUUACAGUGGCUCACAGCUUAUUUCAACCAGCGUCUAUCUGAAACUUCAACGGUCUGUAAAAGCUGAACAAAAAAUGUUAUCAACAAAUUUAAACGCAACAUAUUUCUUGUAUGUUUCAAGAUAUUAUUUAUUAACUUAUUUUAUUUUUUAAUUAUUUUGGUAGUAGGUAGCUGUGAGUCACUGUAAUUAGAAUUUCUGUGAUACAAUUAUAACAUAAAUAAUCCAAACCACAUUUUGCAGUAAAACUUAUUUUACGUCAAA